rnacentral:rRNA from 1 species
GUAGGUGGCAAGCGUUGUCCGGAAUUAUUGGGCGUAAAGCGCGCGCAGGCGGUCCUUUAAGGUCUGAUGUGAAAGCCCACGGGCUCAACCGUGGAGGGUCAUUGGAAACUGGGGGACUUGAGUACAGAGGAGGAAAGCGGAAUUCCAAGUGUAGCGGUGAAAUGCGUAGAGAUUUGGAGGAACACCAGUGGCGAAGGCGGCUUUCUGGUCUGUAACUGACGCUGAGGCGCGAAAGCGUGGGGAGCAAACAGGAUUAGAUACCCUGGUAGUCCACGCCGUAAACGAUGAGUGCUAAGUGUUAGGGGGUUUCCGCCCCUUAGUGCUGCAGCUAACGCAUUAAGCACUCCGCCUGGGGAGUACGGCCGCAAAGGCUGA